AACGAACGCUGGCGGCAUGCCUAACACAUGCAAGUCGAACGCGAGGUCUCGGUUCGCCGAGGCCUUGAGUGGCGCACGGGUGAGUAGCGCGUGGGAACCUGCCCUGGAGUGGGGGAUAACCGAGGGAAACUUCGGCUAAUACCGCAUGCGCCCGGAGCAAUACGGGGAAAGAUUUAUCGCUCUAGGAGGGGCCCGCGUCGGAUUAGCUAGUUGGUGGGGUAACGGCCUACCAAGGCUUUGAUCCGUGGCUGGUCUGAGAGGAUGAUCAGCCACACGGGGACUGAGACACGGCCCAGACUCCUACGGGAGGCAGCAGUGGGGAAUAUUGGACAAUGGGCGAAAGCCUGAUCCAGCAAUGCCGCGUGAGUGAGGAAGGCCUUAGGGUUGUAAAGCUCUUUCGGCGGGGACGAUGAUGACGGUACCCGCAGAAGAAGCCCCGGCUAACUUCGUGCCAGCCGCCGCCGUAA
rnacentral:rRNA from 1 species